rnacentral:lncRNA from 1 species
GGAGAAACACCUCGCAGGCUUUUUAUCCUGGAAUAGUUAGUCAGUAAACGGAAAUAAUUUGUAGCAACGACAUCUGUGAUUAACAGACAGAGCCCUCUCAUUGCCCACAGGAGAAUUAGGUAUUUUUUUCACGUUGGGGUCCAGGGCCUGUCUGUGCAGAGGGUUCUGUUAUCAGUAGAUGGCACGCUUCUCCCGCCCCAGGACUUGGGAAGGGCUUUGCUGCAUCUUAACCCACACUCAUUCUUAUCGAAUGCUGAUACCUGUUUGCUGCAGAACACACAGUAGCUUUCUCUGCCAGAGCUCUCUUUUAGGAAAGGAUUCGGCUGGACCAUCGGAUUUAGAAUAAUCUCGAUAUAACCUGAGAUAUUUUUACUGCCCACACUUGUGCCUUCUGCGUUGUGCCAGAGCUUCUCCCACCCCGUACUCAUCCCACAGCUCAUUCAGCAGCCUUUUCAUCUGCUCCUCACCUGCGGUUUUGGCUGUCCAGUUCUCUGGUGACAACUGGGUCUGAAGAGGAAAGUAACCCCUCUAUAAAAGGUUUUCUGGAGGCCGGUGAAGAGCAGUACCCAGAGACAACCAGACCAGGACCUGACAAAUCAGGUGGGUGCAUCAGCCCGUGGCUCUUUGAGCAUCCUUCCUCCUGGAUGCUCCCCUCGGUGUGCGUCCCAAAGUUUGGGGUGAAAUGCUGUCUCACAGAGUGAAAAAGGCUCAGUUCCAAGUUACUGACACAGACCCGUUGCCUGCAUGAAAUUUGCUCCAUUUGGGAGCUACAGGUCCUGGGAGAUUUGGAUUCCUUGGUGCCUGUUCCAGACUUUUACCUUCUGUUUCUGUAAGAAUUCAGAAGCCAAUUGAAACUGGAGCCGCUGUUUACCUCUGUCUUUGUGC